GCAUUGCUGAAGAGUCCCAUACUAGGACGAAACGGCCGUCCAGUGC
rfam:Schistosoma haematobium scaffold642_20, whole genome shotgun sequence.